rnacentral:rRNA from 1 species
UAUGGAGGAUCCGAGCGUUAUCCGGAUUUAUUGGGUUUAAAGGGUGCGCAGGCGGGAGAUUAAGUCGGCGGUGAAAUUUUGCAGCUCAACUGUAAAAGUGCCUUCGAUACUGGUUUCCUUGAGUGUGGAUGAAGUAGGCGGAAUUUGUGGUGUAGCGGUGAAAUGCUUAGAGAUCACACAGAACACCGAUUGCGAAGGCAGCUCACAAAGCCACAUCUGACGCUGAGGCACGAAAGCGUGGGGAGCAAACAGGAUUA